CAUUAGGAAGUUCAUCUGCAACAGCUGUGUGUGGAGCCCAGGAUUUGAACAGCAGUGAGGCUGCAGGGCAGGACUGAGGGACAUUGACAGAGCUGGGGUGUGGGGGAGCUUCUGUAGUGCAUGCCCAAACCAGACCUUGUUUUCUUUCUCUCUCCCAGCUGAAUAAGGAGACUCAGACAUACUCCUUCACCAUGAGCCAAGACAUUCCAGUGAAGGAUCUGAAGCCAGCAGUGGUCAAAGUCUAUGAUUACUACCAGCCAGAUGAGCAGGCGACAGUGGAAUAUACAGAUCCAUGCCAGUGAGGGGACGAGACAGAGACACCUUGUCCCUGGUGUAACUCACGGGAAUUCCUGGUUCUUCCAUUGCACUUAACUUCUGAGCCCAGGGGGAACAGAG
rnacentral:lncRNA from 1 species